AUCAAAAAUAUCACAAAAAAGUCAUAGGUUAGUAUGUGGUCAAAAAUGUGAUGAAAACAUAAUAUGUUAGUAAGGUGUCAAAAAUAUCACAAAAAAGUCAUAGGUUAGUAUGUGGUCAAAAAUGUGAUAAAAACAUCAUAUGUUAGUAAGGCGUCAAAAAUAUCACAAAAAAGUCAUAGGUUAGUAUGUGGUCAAAAAUGUGAUGAAAACAUCAUAUGUAAGUAAGGCGUCAAAAAUGUGAUAAAAACAUCAUAUGUAAGUAAGGUGUCAAAAAUGUGAUGAAAACAUCAUAUGUUAGUAAGGCGUCAAAAAUAUCACAAAAAAGUCAUAGGUUAGUAUGUGGUCAAAAAUGUGAUAAAAACAUCAUAGGUUACUAUGUGGUCAAAAAUGUGAUAAAAACAUCAUAUGUUAGUAAGGUGUCAAAAAUGUCACAAAAAAGUCAUUGGUUAGUAUGUGGUCAAAAAUGUGAUAAAAACAUCAUAUGUUAGUAAGGCGUCAAAAAUAUCACAAAAAAGUCAUAGGUUAGUAUGUGGUCAAAAAUGUGAUAAAAACAUCAUAUUUAAGUAAGGCGUCAAAAAUGUGAUGAAAACAUCAUAUGUUAGUAAGGCGUCAAAAAUGUGAUAAAAACAUCAUAUGUUAGUAAGGUAUCAAAAAUAUCACAAAAAAGUCAUAGGUUAGUAUGUGGUCAAAAAUGUGAUGAAAACAUAAUAUGUUAGUAAGGUGUCAAAAAUAUCACAAAAAAGUCAUAGGUUAGUAUGUGGUCAAAAAUGUGAUAAAAACAUCAUAUGUUAGUAAGGCGUCAAAAAUAUCACAAAAAAGUCAUAGGUUAGUAUGUGGUCAAAAAUGUGAUAAAAACAUCAUAUGUUAGUAAGGCGUCAAAAAUAUCACAAAAAAGUCAUAGGUUAGUAUGUGGUCAAAAAUGUGAUGAAAACAUCAUAUGUAAGUAAGGCGUCAAAAAUGUCAUAAAAACAUCAUAUGUUAGUAUGUGGUCAAAAAUGUGAUAAAAACAUCAUAUGUUAGUAAGGCGUCAAAAAUAUCACAAAAAAGUCAUAGGUUAGUAUGUGGUCAAAAAUGUGAUAAAAACAUCAUAUGUUAGUAAGGUGUCAAAAAUAUCACAAAAAAGUCAUAGGUUAGUAUGUGGCCAAAAAUGUGAUAAAAACAUAAUAUGUUAGUAAGGCGUCAAAAAUAUCACAAAAAAGUCAUAGGUUAGUAUGUGGUCAAAAAUGUGACAAAAACAUCAUAUGUAAGUAAGGCGUCAAAAAUGUGAUAAAAACAUAAUAUGUUAGUAAGGCGUCAAAAAUGUGAUAAAAACAUCAUAUUUAAGUAAGGCGUCAAAAAUGUGAUGAAAACAUCAUAUGUUAGUAAGGCGUCAAAAAUGUCACAAAAAAGUCAUUGGUUAGUAUGUGGUCAAAAAUGUGAUAAAAACAUCAUAUGUUAGUAAGGCGUCAAAAAUAUCACAAAAAAGUCAUAGGUUAGUAUGUGGUCAAAAAUGUGAUAAAAACAUCAUAUGUAAGUAAGGCGUCAAAAAUGUGAUAAAAACAUCAUAUGUUAGUAAGGCGUCAAAAAUGUGAUAAAAACAUCAUAUGUUAGUAAGGCGUCAAAAAUAUCACAAAAAAGUCAUAGGUUAGUAUGUGGUCAAAAAUGUGAUAAAAACAUCAUAUGUAAGUAAGGCGUCAAAAAUGUGAUAAAAACAUCAUAUGUUAGUAAGGCGUCAAAAAUGUGAUAAAAACAUCAUAUGUAAGUAAGGCGUCAAAAAUAUCACAAAAAAGUCAUAGGUUAGUAUGUGGUCAAAAAUGUCAUAAAAACAUCAUAUGUUAGUAUGUGGUCAAAAAUGUCAUGAAAACAUCAUAUGUUAGUAAGACAUCAAAAAUGUCAUAAAAAUGUCAUAUGUUAGUGAGGUGUCAAAAAUGUCAUGAAAAUGUCAUAGGUUAGUAUGUGGUCAAAAAUGUC